UAUCUCUCUGCUGAUUCAUCUUCAAGACAAGUCCUCCUCUCCAGGGCCGAAAUGUCGCAGAUCUUUGAAUCAGUCAAGCAGUUACACAACACCUUCAAUGCCUUUGCUGGAAAGGAUGGCUGUAUGAGCAAACAGGAAUUUGUUGCCAUGUUGCACAAAGAGAUGCCCAACCUGCCUCAGGAGAUCUUUCAGGAUCUGGAUGCUGAUUGCAGUGGCUCUCUGAAUUUCAAGGAGUUUGCUACCUUCAUAGCAACUAUCUCUACUGUCACUUAUAAAUAAAGUUGAUGGCACAGA